rnacentral:rRNA from 1 species
CCUACGGGAUGAGCUGGACGAAACCUUCACAAUGAACGCAAGUGCGAUGGGGGGACUCCGAGUGCGUUCUCCCCACUAGGGAGGACGCUUUUCUGCACUGUUACGAGGGGCAGGAACAAGGGGUGUGCAACACUGCUGCCAGCCGCCGCGAUAAUUGCAGGACCCCGAGUGGUAGUCGUUGUUAUUGGGCUUAAAGUGUUCGGCUACGGCUGCGCAAGUCUGCUGUGAAAUCCAGGCGCUUAACGUCUGGGCGUGCAGCGGAUACUGCGUGGCUAGGGAUCCUACGUGGCCUAUACUAUUCCCUGCCUAGCAAUGAAAUACUCUCAUCCAGGGAGGAGCACCUGUGGCGAAAGCGCUCGGCGAGUACGGGUCCGACGGUGAGGAACUAAAGCCAGGGGAGCAAAGCGGAUUACAUACCCGCGUAGUCCUGGCCGUUAACAAUGCCCGUUUGAUGUCGGACAACCUUCGGGGUUGUCCGGUGCCUAAGUUGAUCAUGUCCA